GACAAAGGGAAAGGAUUAAAGGAGGUUGGAAGACAGCUCUAAUUGUAUCUUAUUCAUGUGGUUGAUGAACUUAACACACAUCUCAAUUCCGACAUCAAAGAGGCCUGAGUCUUCUCCAUCAAAGUGACAGUUCAGUUGGGAAAGCCAUUAUAUCAUACUCAGCUCCCUGAGGACCCAGGGCACAUGGUUUAUGAUCAGUCAUCGUUGCUGAAUGAAUGGAAGAAUGGAUGAAGUCAGGGAAUUGCAAGAGAAGAGGCCAGAAUAUUGUUCUAGAGGAUCCUGAUCACAGGGACACUGUGAAGUCUUGAUCCAAGUUAAAGAAUACCCACCUUUUGACAUUGUUAUCAAUAGAUACCUGGAUGAGAAGAAUUCAACAAACAACUUUGGCCAAGAUUCUGGUGCUUGGGGUGCACAGGUAAGAUAAACAACAAUCUGUUUUUCUUCUUCAGGGUGUUACAUACCAUGUCAGAACUUGAGAAAAUAGAUUUUAAUUAGUUAAACAGCAGAAUUAGGUUAAGGAUC